CUGGCACAGGUAGACCAUGCUGACUGCCUGCACCCUCAACCUGGGGAGCCUUUAUGGUGUGCCAAGAUUGGAGCCAUCACAUUUGCAUCCUUAAAUCCCACAGACAUUCCAUCAAGAGACAUACUUAGCCUUCUCACAAGUGAAAACAGAUUCAGGAGAGCAGGCUCUCAGAGUUUCAGUAUCCAUUCUGAGAUUGUAUCUCUGUCAUGUAACAGUUUCCUCAAGAUUGAAACAUUCCAUCCUUCAGGGAAGCUCAGAAGAUGCAGGUACAACGUGGCCAGUAGACCCCAGCUCCUGUGCUGUUCCUUCCCCACCAUGAUGGGCUGUAUCCCCUUGAACUGCAAAUAAACCCUUCCUCCCUUAA
rnacentral:lncRNA from 1 species